rnacentral:rRNA from 1 species
CCUACGGUGUGCAGCAGUGGGGGAUAUUGCACAAUGGGGGGAACCCUGAUGCAGCGACGCCGCGUGGGUGAAGGAGUGCUUCGGCAUGUAAAGCCCUAUCGGCAGGGAAGAAGCAAGACGGUACCUGACGAAGAAGCCCCGGCGAAUUACGUGCCAGCAGCCGCGGUACUACGGAGGGGGCGAGCGUUAUCCGGAUUAACUGGGGGUAAAGGGAGCGUAGACGGCCAUGCAAGCCAGGGGUGAAAGCCCGGGGCCCAACCCCGGGACGGCCUUUGGAACUGCAUGGCUGGAGUGCGGGAGGGGCAGGCGGAAUUCCUGGUGUGGCGGUGAAAUGCGUAGAUAUCAGGAGGAACACCGGGGGCGAAGGCGGCCUGCUGGACCGCGACUGACGUUGAGGCUCGAAAGCGUGGGGAGCGAACAGGAUUAGAUACCCCUGUAGUC